rnacentral:rRNA from 1 species
GACGAACCGUGCGAACGUUGUUCGGAAUCACUGGGCUUAAAGGGCGCGUAGGCGGGCGGCCAAGUCAGGGGUGAAAGCCCCCAGCUCAACUGGGGAAGUGCCUUUGAUACUGGUCGUCUCGAGGGAGGUAGGGGCGUGCGGAACUUCCGGUGGAGCGGUGAAAUGCGUAGAUAUCGGAAGGAACGCCGGUGGCGAAAGCGGCGCGCUGGACCUCUUCUGACGCUGAGGCGCGAAAGCUAGGGGAGCAAACGGG